rnacentral:snoRNA from 1 species
UUUGGUGAUGAAAUAUGCACUGGGCUCUGAGCAGUUACUUUCUGUGCUAAUUGAUGGAAAUGCAGCCUGGAAAGCUAUAUCUGAUCU